rnacentral:lncRNA from 1 species
GGCAACAGUGCAGGGCAAAGAAAAAACCAAAAAGAAACCCAAAACAAAACUGAAAAUAUAUUUGCCAUUUCGGUUGUUUCCACACACACACACACACACUCAGUAGGUGUAACAUUUUGGAGGAACACCGCGAUUAUCCUUCUGCUAGCGAAUGAAUUUUCGGAUUCCCUGACAAUCGUUUAUGAAGGGUAAUCGAAAUUGAAGUGCAAACUUGACAAUUGUGAGAGGAAACACUCCGAUAAUGGCACUAAUGACUGGCACGACCAGCCUAUACCGGAUAUGACAACAACGAAAAGAGCAACAAC